rnacentral:rRNA from 1 species
AUACGUAGAGUGCAAACGUUGUUCGGAAUUACUGGGCAUAAAGAGCUCGUAGGUGGCCUCGUAAGUCGGUUGUGAAAGCCCCUGGCUCAACCAGGGAAUUGCAGCCGAUACUGCAAGGCUUGAGUGUGGGAGGGGAGAGUGGAACUUCCAGUGGAGCGGUGAAAUGCGUAGAUAUUGGAAGGAACGCCGGUGGCGAAAGCGACUCUCCGGCCCACUACUGACACUGAGGAGCGAAAGCUAGGGUAGCGAACGGGAUUAGAAACCCCAGUAGUCC